rnacentral:rRNA from 1 species
UACGUAGGGUGCAAGCGUUGUCCGGAAUUAUUGGGCGUAAAGAGCUCGUAGGCGGCUCGUCGCGUCGGUUGUGAAAACCUGGGGCUCAACCCCGGGCCUGCAGCCGAUACGGGCGAGCUAGAAUUCGGUAGGGGAGACUGGAAUUCCUGGUGUAGCGGUGAAAUGCGCAGAUAUCAGGAGGAACACCGGUGGCGAAGGCGGGUCUCUGGGACGGUACUGACACUGAGACGCGAAAGCGUGGGGAGCGAACAGG